AGAUCCAUUCCCUUGGUCCCAAAUUCGAACUGAAAUACUGCCAUUGACUAAAACAUAUGCUGACUACACCUCACCGAUGGUGUUAUAACGCAAGGUAGGACGAAGAUACCAAGAAAGACAUUGUCGGCGGUCAACAGUAAAGACUUUUCUCCGCUCAAGACUGCUAGCCCGUAUGCUAAUGCGGGAAACAAGUUAGCUUUCCACAGCUAGCUAUGCCGUGAGCGCUGCUAGCCCCAUGGAUACAUCAAAGUUGGCCACAGAGACUGAGCCUUCCCUCGGUGAUGUUUUAACCACCAUAAGGAACCUGGACAACAAGAUGAAUCCAUUCCACAAGCAAGAAAGCAUUUCAGGAUGGAGCCCAUGAGGACAUCCAUUACCCGCAUGGCACAGCGGAUGGACACAUUUGAGGAAAAGAUGGAUGAGCUGCUCAUGCUCUUAAGGAGCUCCCAGUCACCUCCCUCUGCUCCAGUCGAUGACGUGUUGCUGUCGCCCUGCU